rnacentral:rRNA from 1 species
UGCAAGUCGAACGGAAUGCUUCGGCAUUUAGUGGCGGACGGGUGAGUAACGCGUGAGAAUCUACCCUUAGGACGGGGACAACGACUGGAAACGGUCGCUAAAACCCGAUGUGCCGAGAGGUGAAAUAUUUAUAGCCUGGGGAUGAGCUCGCGUCAGAUUAGCUAGUUGGGGAGGUAAUGGCUCACCAAGGCGACGAUCUGUAGCUGGUCUGAGAGGAUGACCAGUCACACUGGAACUGAGACACGGUCCAGACUCCUACGGGAGGCAGCAGUGGGGAAUUUUCCGCAAUGGGCGCAAGCCUGACGGAGCAAGACCGCGUGGGGGAUGAAGGUUUGUGGAUUGUAAACCCCUUUUGUCAGGGAAGAAUAAUGACGGUACCUGACGAAUAAGCCUCGGCUAACUCCGUGCCAGCAGCCGCGGUAAUACGGAGGAGGCAAGCGUUAUCCGGAAUUAUUGGGCGUAAAGCGUCCGCAGGUGGUUGGUCAAGUCUGCUGUCAAAGCGCGAGGCUCAACUUCGUAAAGGCAGUGGAAACUGACUCACUAGAGUGCGGUAGGGGUAGAGGGAAUUCCCAGUGUAGCGGUGAAAUGCGUAGAUAUUGGGAAGAACACCGGUGGCGAAAGCGCUCUACUGGACCUGCACUGACACUGAGGGACGAAAGCUAGGGGAGCGAAAGGGAUUAGAUACCCCUGUAGUCCUAGCUGUAAACGAUGGAUACUAGGUGUUGCCCGUAUCGACCCGGGCAGUGCCGUAGCUAACGCGUUAAGUAUCCCGCCUGGGGGAGUACGCUCGCAAGAGUGAAACUCAAAGGAAUUGACGGGGGCCCGCACAAGCGGUGGAGUAUGUGGUUUAAUUCGAUGCAACGCGA